rnacentral:rRNA from 1 species
GGCCUAUCAGCUUGUUGUUAGUAAUGGCUUACCAAAGGCGACAACGGGGUAGUCGGCCUGAGGAGGGCAGACCGUGCAACACUGGGACUUGAGAACACGGCCCCAGACUUCCUUACGGGGAGGCCAGCAAUUGGGGAAAUAUUGCCAACAAAUGUGGGCGAAAGCCUGAAUGCAAGCACCCCCGCGUGAGGGAAUGACGGCCUCUCGGGUUGUAACCUCUGCUCAGCAGGGAAGAAGCGAAAGUGACGGUACCUGCAGAAGAAGCGCCGGCUAACUACGUGCCAGCAGCCGCGGUAAUACUAGGGCGCAAGCGUUGUCCGGAAUUAUUGGGCGUAAAGAGCUCGUAGGCGGCUUGUCACGUCGGUUGUGAAAGCCCGGGGCUUAACCCCGGGUCUGCAAUCGAUACGGGCAGGCUAGAGUUCGGUAGGGGAGAUCGGAAUUCCUGGUGUCCCGGUGAAAUGCGCAGAUAUCAGGAUGGAACACCGGAUGGCGAAGGCGGAUCUCUGGGCCGAUACUGACGCUGAGGAGCGAAAGCGUGGGGAGCGAACAGGAUUAGAUACCCUGGUAGUCCACGCCGUAAACGGUGGGCACUAGGUGUGGGCAUACAUUCCACGUUGUCCGUGCCGCAGCUAACGCUAUUAAGUGCCCCGCCUGGGGAGUACGG